rnacentral:rRNA from 1 species
ACGAACGCUGGCGGCGUGCUUAACACCUGCCAGUCGAACGGAAAGGCCUCUUUCGGGGGGUACUCGAGUGGCGAACGGGUGAGUAACACGUGAGUAACCUGCCCUUGACUUUGGGAUAACUUCAGGAAACUGGGGCUAAUACCGGAUAGGAGCUCCUGCUGCAUGGUGGGGGUUGGAAAGUUUCGGCGGUUGGGGAUGGACUCGCGGCUUAUCAGCUUGUUGGUGGGGUAGUGGCUUACCAAGGCUUUGACGGGUAGCCGGCCUGAGAGGGUGACCGGCCACAUUGGGACUGAGAUACGGCCCAGACUCCUACGGGAGGCAGCAGUGGGGAAUAUUGCACAAUGGGUGGAAGCCUGAUGCAGCAACGCCGUGUGCGGGAUGACGGCCUUCGGGUUGUAAACCGCUUUCGCUCAUGACGAAGCUUUGUGUGACGGUAGUGGGUAAAGAAGCACCGGCUAACUACGUG